CUCGGAGGGCGAGGAAGGCCGCGAAAGGACGCGAUAGGCGGGGCAAGAUAGCCCGCUGGCCGAAUGGCGGUGUCCCGCUCCUGGUGGGCGCGCCCCUGGACGCCCGACUGAUGGCGAGAAGGGGGCGGCAGACUCCCCGAACUUAAGCAUAUUAGUAGGGGAAGGAAACGAAAGCAAACGCGAGCGCCCGAGUAGCGGCGAGCGAAAGGGCAGCGUCCCGGCCCGAUUCCCCCAGGGGAGCUGAGGGAGAGAACAGUGGCUGAGUCACCUGACCGAGAGGGACGGCAAAGACGCGCACCGGUGGGAGCCCGGGGAGCCAGAAUCUCGAGACGGCGAGUAGUGGUGCUUGGGAGUGCACCGCGAAGGGGUGGUGCGGUCCACCCAAGGAAACGCACGCCUCCGAGCCCGAUAGCGGAGCAGAGCGUGAGUGCACGAGCCCGGCCGAGAAGGGCCGCGGUAUGAAACUGGCCGGCGGACCAGCGCCCGACCCAAUAUCCCACUGGGCCACAGGGGAAGGCGCCGCCCGUCUUGAAACACGGACCGAGGAGUGCCACGCGCGGGCGAGUCAACCACCAGCAAGUGCACAGGCGCAGCGCAAGCGACUCCAUAAGGGGGCCGAGCCCGCGCGGGGCGACCCGAUAGCGCGCGAUCUUUGCGUGGCCAGGACGAAGGCGCUGGAAAGAGCGUUGGAGGUCCGCAGCAGUGCUGAGCCGCAACUCGCUUGUGAGAGCUGCGCAAAGGGGCGAAAGACCAAUCGAGCGCGCUAGUGGCUGGUUCCCUCCGAAAUUUCUCUCAGGAAAGCGGCCCCCAAAAACAUGUACACAUGCCACGGGCCGCGCCCUAGCACCCGAGGAGGCGAGGGCGGCAAUAGCUGCGCGCAUCAUCGAAAGCCCAAGGCGCGGCCGUACAGGGGCCAGUGGGCCUUCCUGGUAACCAGGACAGGCAAGGCGGAGACAACCGCGAGGGCGCCUGAGGUGCCUAAGGGGCCAUAACAAAGGGGCCCGCCCCGUCAAGACAGCUGGGCAGUGCCCAUGGAAGUCGGAACCUGCUAAGGAGUGUGUAACAACUCACCAGCCGAAUGGGGCGUCCCCCAAGAUGGACGGCAGAGGCCCCACCCAAGCCGCCCGCCUCCAAAAGGAGCGCGUAGGAGGGCGCCCGCGCUGCAGAGAACCGUGCGGAAGACCGUGCGUGGAGCGGCGCGGGGUGCAGAUCUCGGUGCAAGUAGCUUAACUUCGGACCAAACCGAGUGCCAGAGGGCGAGGUUUUCAAAAGACUCAGCCGGUGCUAAUCCCAACCGCUACAAGCGAGGGAGACAGCCAAUGGGGCCCACAUUCCCCAGCGCGCAAGCAGACACCGCCAGACUAACAAGCCCCCGAGCGAGCAAAGGGCCCGCGGGAAUCACAUCCCGCACAACCGCAGCAAGGGACACAGCGUCAUGCCGUCAACCACCCCACCGCGCCAACGGGCCCCGAGCGAGCGUCUCUCAAGAGGGCCUACCCUGCCGCCCACCGUACCAACCGACCCAGGAGCCCCGGGGAAGCACCCCACGGCACCAGGCCAAGGCGAGGUCAGGGAAUUCGGCAACAUCGGCCCCUAACCUCGGGAGAAGGGCCGCCUCCCCCCACCAAGGGGAGGCCAACACCGGGCAGUCCGACUGUUUUUUAAACACACAGCUGCGCGCCCGCCUAAGGCAUAUCACGCGCGGCGACUUCUCUCCGGUGCGCGAAGGUCACCCCAGCGAGAGCGGGGCAAGCCCGCGUAAACGAGUGCCCUAUUUUUCUGAGGGUAUUAAGGUAGCGAUUACUCGUCAUUUAAAUGGUGACAUGCAUGAACGGGGCAACGAGACUGCUACUGUCCCGACCCGCCGCCUGGCGAGCGCACAGUCAAGCGAACGGGCUUGAGAGGGAUAGCGGGGAAAGAAGACCCCGUUGAGCUCCGCAUCACCCUGCGCCCCCAGCGCCCGACCUGCGCCACAGCCAGUGGGCAGCCAACCGACAAUGAGAACCCCACGCGCGACAGAAGGCCCUGGUCACAACACAACAAAGGACACGCGCAGGAGAGAUGCUUGGCUGGGGCGGCACGCCUACGACACCCCAGCGUAGGCGCCCACAGGUCCACUCAGCGAGGACCGCAACCUCGCGCAGAGCGUAAGGGCAAAAGUGCGCCCAGGCCCGGCGCCCACCACGCGCCCGGCGCGCGAAAGCGUGGCCUAGCGAUCCUCUUGCCGCCGCAGCUGCGCAAGAGGUAUCGGAAAAGUUACCGCGGGGAUAACUGGCUGGUGGCCGCCGACAGCUCCCAAGGACGCGGCCGUUUGAUUCUUCGAUGUUGGCUCUUCCCACCCUGCCGUCGCAGGAGGCGGCAAGGGUAAGUUUGUUCAUCUGUCAAUGGGGAUCGUGAGCUGAGUUUAGGCCGUCGUGAGACAGGCUGGAUUUACCCUACUAUCCCGGGGCCCACGGGGAAGAGCACUGCUGUUACGCAAGGAAGGCGCGCUCGCUGCCUCUGGUGCUUCCUCGUCCAGCCUGGGCGGGGAGUAGCCACGCACCGGGGACAACGGCUGGAAGCAUAUCAAGCCGGAAGCCCCACCCACCAGGCCGCCCCCCUCUCCCACAGGGAACCGAGGGGGACCAUCCCGACUACCACGGGAGGGACCGAGGGGCUGUACCCGGGGAGCUGCGCGCGACAGAUCGGAAGAGCGUCGUGUAGGGAAAGAGUGUAGAUC
rnacentral:rRNA from 1 species